GUUAAGAAAAAUAUGGCAUCCUCGAAGACUUUUCUUCUUCUUGGCCUUGUGUGUGUUGUUCUCAUCCUCAUCGUCUCCGAGUCGUGCGCUAGCUGAAACUACUACUCAAAUUAAUCCGAAUGGUGCCUAUGAGAGAAGUGGACAUGGACGGCAAGUUGCCGAUGGACGUGGUGGCUACAAUCGUGGAGGGCAAGGUAGCAGUCGACCCAAUUUAAUCAUCGGUGGAGAAAAAGGUGGUGGUAACGUACAUGAGCAAGACCCUGACAGUCGAGGAGGGAAAGGAUAAGGUCGAGACCAUGGCCACUAUGAAAGACCAGGACCUGGAACUGCUGAGAUUGAAACAAAGCAUCAGAUAACAUGUGGUCCUUAGAGUACUACUAUCUUUGUAUGUCAAUAAAAAGGUCAUUUGGUUGAGUUGUCUAAUGAACUCUCAAUCAUAAGCCUGUCUUUAAUUAAGGUUUAUCUAUGUACUCUACAUAAUGAUCAUAGUGUCAAAAUAUCUAGCAAUUCAAGUUUAUUGUUUGUGUGCUGAAUUCCUUUUGAAA